rnacentral:rRNA from 1 species
GACGAACGCUGGCGGCGUGCCUAAUACAUGCAAGUCGAACGCUGAAGGAGGAGCUUGCUUCUCCGGACGAGUGGCGAACGGGUGAGUAACGCGUAGGUAACCUGCCUUUUAGCGGGGGAUAACUAUUGGAAACGAUAGCUAAUACCGCAUAACAGUAGAUAUUGCAUGAUAUCUGCUUGAAAGGUGCAAUUGCUUCACUACCAGAUGGACCUUCGUUGCAUUAGCGAGUUGGUGAGGUAACGGCUCACCAAGGCGACGAUACAUCGGCGACCUGGGACGGGGGUCGGCCCGACUUGGAAUGGGGCACGGCCCAAACUCCUACGGGAGGCAGCAGAAAGGAAUCUUCGGGAAAGGAGGGAAGUCUGACCGAGAAACGCCGCAGGAGGGAAGAAGGAUUUCGGAUCGUGAAACUCUGUUGUAAGGGAAGAACGAGUGUGAGAGUGGAAAGUUCACGUUGUGACGGUAACUGACCAGAAAGGGACGGCUAACUACGUG